GAUGAACGCUGGCGGCGUGCCUAAUACAUGCAAGUCGAGCGAACAGACGAGGAGCUUGCUCCUCUGACGUUAGCGGCGGACGGGUGAGUAACACGUGGAUAACCUACCUAUAAGACUGGGAUAACUUCGGGAAACCGGAGCUAAUACCGGAUAAUAUAUUGAACCGCAUGGUUCAAUAGUGAAAGACGGUUUUGCUGUCACUUAUAGAUGGAUCCGCGCCGCAUUAGCUAGUUGGUAAGGUAACGGCUUACCAAGGCGACGAUGCGUAGCCGACCUGAGAGGGUGAUCGGCCACACUGGAACUGAGACACGGUCCAGACUCCUACGGGAGGCAGCAGUAGGGAAUCUUCCGCAAUGGGCGAAAGCCUGACGGAGCAACGCCGCGUGAGUGAUGAAGGUUUCCGGAUCGUAAAACUCUGUUAUUAGGGAAGAACAAAUGUGUAAGUAACUAUGCACGUCUUGACGGUACCUAAUCAGAAAGCCACGGCUAACUACGUG
rnacentral:rRNA from 1 species